CACGUAGGGGGCAAGCGUUGUCCGGAUUUAUUGGGCGUAAUGAGCUCGUAGGCGGAUCGAUAAGUCGGGUGUAAAACCUCCAGGCUCAACCUGGAGACGCCACCCGAUACUGUCGUGACUAGAGUCCAGUAGGGGAGCGUGGAAUUCCUGGUGUAGCGGUGAAAUGCGCAGAUAUCAGGAGGAACACCAGCGGCGAAGGCGGCGCUCGGGGCUGGAACUGACGCUGAGGUGCGAAAGCGUGGGGAGCGAACAGG
rnacentral:misc_RNA from 1 species